AGAGUUUGAUCCUGGCUCAGGAUGAACGCUAGCUACAGGCUUAACACAUGCAAGUCGAGGGGCAGCAUUUCAGUUUGCUUGCAAACUGGAGAUGGCGACCGGCGCACGGGUGAGUAACACGUAUCCAACCUGCCGAUAACUCGGGGAUAGCCUUUCGAAAGAAAGAUUAAUACCCGAUGGUAUAAUCAGACCGACAUGGUCUUGUUGUUAAAGAAUUUCGGUUAUCGAUGGGGAUGCGUUCCAUUAGGCAGUUGGUGAGGUAACGGCUCACCAAACCUUCGAUGGAUAGGGGUUCUGAGAGGAAGGUCCCCCACAUUGGAAGUGAGACACGGUCCAAACUCCUACGGGAGGCAGCAGUGAGGAAUAUUGGUCAAUGGGCGCAGGCCUGAACCAGCCAAGUAGCGUGAAGGAUGACUGCCCUAUGGGUUGUAAACUUCUUUUAUAUGGGAAUAAAGUUUUCCACGUGUGGAAUUUUGUAUGUACCAUAUGAAUAAGGAUCGGCUAACUCCGUGCCAGCAGCCGCGGUAAUACGGAGGAUCCGAGCGUUAUCCGGAUUUAUUGGGUUUAAAGGGAGCGUAGGUGGACAGUUAAGUCAGUUGUGAAAGUUUGCGGCUCAACCGUAAAAUUGCAGUUGAUACUGGCUGUCUUGAGUACAGUAGAGGUGGGCGGAAUUCGUGGUGUAGCGGUGAAAUGCUUAGAUAUCACGAAGAACUCCGAUUGCGAAGGCAGCUCACUGGACUGCAACUGACACUGAUGCUCGAAAGUGUGGGUAUCAAACAGGAUUAGAUACCCUGGUAGUCCACACAGUAAACGAUGAAUACUCGCUGUUUGCGAUAUACAGUAAGCGGCCAAGCGAAAGCAUUAAGUAUUCCACCUGGGGAGUACGCCGGCAACGGUGAAACUCAAAGGAAUUGACGGGGGCCCGCACAAGCGGAGGAACAUGUGGUUUAAUUCGAUGAUACGCGAGGAACCUUACCCGGGCUUAAAUUGCAUUUGAAUAUAUUGGAAACAGUAUAGCCGUAAGGCAAAUGUGAAGGUGCUGCAUGGUUGUCGUCAGCUCGUGCCGUGAGGUGUCGGCUUAAGUGCCAUAACGAGCGCAACCCUUAUCUUUAGUUACUAACAGGUCAUGCUGAGGACUCUAGAGAGACUGCCGUCGUAAGAUGUGAGGAAGGUGGGGAUGACGUCAAAUCAGCACGGCCCUUACGUCCGGGGCCACACACGUGUUACAAUGGGGGGUACAGAAGGCAGCUACCUGGUGACAGGAUGCUAAUCCCAAAAGCCUCUCUCAGUUCGGAUCGAAGUCUGCAACCCGACUUCGUGAAGCUGGAUUCGCUAGUAAUCGCGCAUCAGCCAUGGCGCGGUGAAUACGUUCCCGGGCCUUGCACACACCGCCC
rnacentral:rRNA from 1 species